UCAAAGUGAUGAAUCACUCCCUUCUUCUAAAAUGAUGGUGGAACUUCUAUAUGCAACUGGAGAGACCUUGGGCAAAGAUAAUUCAAAACAUAUAUUAUAGAUUCCACUUGCCACUGUCCACUAAUAGGUCAAUUAUAAGAGGGGCUUCACCAUUCCAGAGGGGAGUUCUUAAGCUUUUCCAACUUUUCCAAGAAUUCACAUCUUCAAUAGUUGGC
rnacentral:lncRNA from 1 species